rnacentral:rRNA from 1 species
CAGGCCUAACACAUGCAAGUCGAACGCACCGCAAGGUGAGUGGCAGACGGGUGAGUAACGCGUGGGAACCUUCCCUUUGGUACGGAAUAACUUCGGGAAACCGAAGCUAAUACCGUAUAAGUCCUUCGGGAGAAAGAUUUAUCGCCAAAGAAUGGGCCCGCGUUGGAUUAGCUAGUUGGUAGGGUAAAGGCCUACCAAGGCUACGAUCCAUAGCUGGUCUGAGAGGAUGAUCAGCCACACUGGGACUGAGACACGGCCCAGACUCCUACGGGAGGCAGCAGUGGGGAAUAUUGGACAAUGGGGGCAACCCUGAUCCAGCCAUGCCGCGUGAGUGAAGAAGGCCUUAGGGUUGUAAAGCUCUUUUGGCGGGGACGAUAAUGACGGUACCCGCAGAAUAAGCCCCGGCUAACUUCGUGCCAGCAGCCGCGGUAAUACA